rnacentral:rRNA from 1 species
CCUACGGGAGGCUGCAGUAGGGAAUAUUGGACAAUGGGUGCGAGCCUGAUCCAGCCAUGCCGCGUGCAGGAAGAAGGCGUUAUGCGUUGUAAACUGCUUUUGCCAGGGGAUAAAAUAACUGUGCGCAGUUGAUUGAAGGUACCUGGUGAAUAAGCCACGGCUAACUACGUGCCAGCAGCCGCGGUAAUACGUAGGUGGCAAGCGUUGUCCGGAUUUAUUGGGUUUAAAGGGUGCCCCUGUAGGUCUGUAAUGAAAUAUCUCAGCUUAACUGAGAGGGUGCCAUUGAUACUGCGGGGCUUGAGUACAGAUGAGGUAGGCGGAAUUGACGGUGUAGCGGUGAAAUGCAUAGAUAUCGUCAAGAACACCGAUAGCGAAGGCAGCUUACCAAGCUGUAACUGACGCUGAGGCACGAAAGUGUGGGGAUCAAACAGGAUUAGAUACCCCUGUAUC